AGAGUUUGAUCCUGGCUCAGAUUGAACGCUGGCGGCAGGCCUAACACAUGCAAGUCGAACGGUAACAGGAAGAAGCUUGCUUCUUUGCUGACGAGUGGCGGACGGGUGAGUAAUGUCUGGGAAACUGCCUGAUGGAGGGGGAUAACUACUGGAAACGGUAGCUAAUACCGCAUAACGUCGCAAGACCAAAGAGGGGGACCUUCGGGCCUCUUGCCAUCGGAUGUGCCCAGAUGGGAUUAGCUAGUAGGUGGGGUAACGGCUCACCUAGGCGACGAUCCCUAGCUGGUCUGAGAGGAUGACCAGCCACACUGGAACUGAGACACGGUCCAGACUCCUACGGGAGGCAGCAGUGGGGAAUAUUGCACAAUGGGCGCAAGCCUGAUGCAGCCAUGCCGCGUGUAUGAAGAAGGCCUUCGGGUUGUAAAGUACUUUCAGCGGGGAGGAAGGGAGUAAAGUUAAUACCUUUGCUCAUUGACGUUACCCGCAGAAGAAGCACCGCGG
rnacentral:rRNA from 1 species